rnacentral:rRNA from 1 species
AGAGUUUGAUCCUGGCUCAGGAUGAACGCUGGCGGUAUGCUUAACACAUGCAAGUCGAACGGAAUCUUAGGAUUUAGUGGCGGACGGGUGAGUAACGCGUGAGAAUCUGGCUUUAGGUCGGGGACAACAGUUGGAAACGACUGCUAAUACCGGAUGUGCCGAGAGGUGAAAGAUUUAUUGCCUGAAGAUGAGCUCGCGUCUGAUUAGCUAGUUGGUAGUGUAAUGGACUACCAAGGCGACGAUCAGUAGCUGGUUUGAGAGGAUGAUCAGCCACACUGGGACUGAGACACGGCCCAGACUCCUACGGGAGGCAGCAGUGGGGAAUUUUCCGCAAUGGGCGAAAGCCUGACGGAGCAAUACCGCGUGAGGGAGGAAGGCUCUUGGGUCGUAAACCUCUUUUCUCAAGGAAGAAAAAGAUGACGGUACUUGAGGAAUAAGCAUCGGCUAACUCCGUGCCAGCAGCCGCGGUAAUACGGAGGAUGCAAGCGUUAUCCGGAAUGAUUGGGCGUAAAGGGUCUGCAGGUGGAACUGAAAGUCUGCUGUUAAAGAAUCUGGCUCAACCAGAUAAAAGCAGUGGAAACUACAGAACUAGAGUACGGUAGGGGUAGAAGGAAUUCCUGGUGUAGCGGUGAAAUGCGUAGAUAUCAGGAAGAACACCGGUGGCGAAAGCGUUCUACUAGACCGAGACUGACACUGAGGGACGAAAGCUAGGGGAGCGAAUGGGAUUAGAUACCCCAGUAGUCCUAGCCGUAAACGAUGGAUACUAGGCGUGGCUUGUAUCGACCCGAGCCGUGCCGUAGCUAACGCGUUAAGUAUCCCGCCUGGGGAGUACGCACGCAAGUGUGAAACUCAAAGGAAUUGACGGGGGCCCGCACAAGCGGUGGAGUAUGUGGUUUAAUUCGAUGCAACGCGAAGAACCUUACCAAGGCUUGACAUCCUGCGAAUCCUACUGAAAGGUGGGAGUGCCUUCGGGAGCGCAGAGACAGGUGGUGCAUGGCUGUCGUCAGCUCGUGUCGUGAGAUGUUGGGUUAAGUCCCGCAACGAGCGCAACCCUCGUUUUUAGUUGCCAGCAUUAAGAUGGGCACUCUAGAGAGACUGCCGGUGACAAACCGGAGGAAGGUGAGGAUGACGUCAAGUCAGCAUGCCCCUUACGCCUUGGGCUACACACGUACUACAAUGCUACGGACAAAGGGCAGCUACACAGCGAUGUGAUGCAAAUCUCAGAAACCGUAGCUCAGUUCAGAUCGAAGGCUGCAACUCGCCUUCGUGAAGGAGGAAUCGCUAGUAAUUGCAGGUCAGCAUACUGCAGUGAAUUCGUUCCCGGGCCUUGUACACACCGCCCGCCACACCAUGGGAGUUGGUUC